UACGUAGGGUCCGAGCGUUGUCCGGAAUUAUUGGGCGUAAAGAGCUCGUAGGCGGUGUGUCGCGUCGGCCGUGAAAACCUGGGGCUUAACUCUGGGCGUGCGGUCGAUACGGGCAUCACUAGAGUUCGGCAGGGGAGACUGGAAUUCCUGGUGUAGCGGUGAAAUGCGCAGAUAUCAGGAGGAACACCGGUGGCGAAGGCGGGUCUCUGGGCCGAUACUGACGUGAGGAGCGAAAGCAAUGGGUAGCGAACAGG
rnacentral:rRNA from 1 species